rnacentral:rRNA from 1 species
UACAGAGACUGCAAGCGUUAUUCGGAUUCACUGGGUUUAAAGGGUGCGCAGGCGGGACAUUAAGUCAGGGGUGAAAGACGGUUGCUCAACAAUCGCAGUGCCUUUGAUACUGGUGUUCUUGGGUAACCUUGAGGUAGGCGGAAUGGGUGGUGUAGCGGUGAAAUGCAUAGAUACCACCCAGAACUCCGAUUGCGAAGGCAGCCUACUGGAGGUCAACCGACGCUCAGGCACGAAAGCGUGGGGAUCAAACAGG